GUCACCUCCUCCAGAUAGGAAGCUCAGGUAAUUAGCUGCACUCACCUCAAGCGAAGGCAAAUAUCCUGUUUGAAGAGAGCACUGUUCUGACUCACUGAUCCUGAGGGGGACACUCACAGUCCCUCCUUACCAAAGGGAGACCACCUUCAAUGGUGUGAUGGGCAAAGUAUCUAAUCUUCCUGCACGGAUAGUUUGCAUCCUCCCACCUAAGAAAUUGUCACCCAGAUUAACGAUUUAACCCCUAAACAUUCCUCUGUGUCCUGCAGGGGCAAUCAAAUGCGUCUGUAAACUCACAGUGACAACAAUUGUGCUCUGACGUUACACACUCACAGACAAAUCACUUAAUCACAUGAUCCCGAGGGUCAGCUCGGGACCACGAGACCUGGUGAGUAGCAAGCUAGUAGAGUAAGAAGGGAUAAUCUGAUUUCUUUCACCAACCGCAGCCCUCCUCCCCUUAGAGGAUCGAACACCUCUGGCCAUUAACGAUGUGCACUGACACACGCACGCACACAGAUGAUCCAUUCAAAGGUUCUUAACCUGAGUGCUUGUGCAGACUGCUGAUCCACUCAUCUCUUAUGACGCUGUCACUGUGCUCUGUAGUUCAUCUAUAUUACUGACACACAACACGAAUUUGGAAAGAAAAGAAAGAAAGAAAGAAAGAAAGAAAGAAAGAAAGAAAGAAAGAAAGAAAGAAAGAAAGAAAGAGGAGAAUAAACACGACAUAAAAGACUCACCCACAGCAUCACCACAGCAAUUAGGCACAGUUUGAACCAAUGAAAAUCAAAACCUAUGCUCUCAAACAAACCCUCCAUAAUCCAAUUUUUACUUAACCUCUACAGAGCAGCUGGACUCCCUGUGCACUAACCGCAUUGAGGUACUUACCACAUAUACACUCAGACAUAAAAAAAAAUACCAUCACCUCACAGAAAGGGUUUUUGGAUAAAUGUUGAAAAUAACAAAGAGGCCGCCUUUAACGGUGGAAAAUAAUAUUUAUCUCAGUGCCGACUGCUGAUACCAUCUGUCACACGUUCUGUAAAAGCAGGUCCCAUAAACACGUCAUGUAAACACUGUGAUAUUUUUAAAUGUCACUACAGAGAGCCUCCCUUUUCCCUCUAUAGUGGUCUAGGCACUCAUCUCCUUCUCCUGUUUUACCUUGCACAUCUUUGACUCACAUGCAGUUAAACUAGGCCUGGACCAUAAAAAUUGACAUAAAGAAAACUUAAUUUACAGUACGGUGCUCUGCAAAAG
ensembl:lncRNA